rnacentral:misc_RNA from 1 species
GUUCGCCAUGGCUCAUUCCUU